rnacentral:tRNA from 1 species
GCUUCGGUAGCUCAGUUGGUAGAGCACUUGCCCAUGAAAGGCAAAGGUCCCGAGUUCGAGUCUCGGUCGGUACA